UAUGAUACAAGAUGUUCUGCUCAAGGAUAGGCUGGAAUACCCUAAAUUUUUCUCUUGGGUAGAAGCCAUAAACAUUAUCGCACAAGUUGAACUCUGAUAGAUCAGAAAAGCUUUUGGUAUGUUGGGCUUUUGGAAAUAUAGAAACUUGAGGUUUCUGGUGCUUAUGUUUUUAUGAAGAUUUUGUUCUUCUAUCUGCAAACAAAAGAGGCAAGAUAAGAGCAAAGAAGAUAAUUUAACUAAAGUAAAUGGGAAAUGUGCUAUUGAAUUAAAGAGUGUUUUGAUUUCAUUCUCAGUAUUAUUUGAUUUCCUGAACAUCAAGCAUAUUGAUUUCAUUUGCAGCUGGAAUCUCCAGAGUUGCAACUCACAGGGCCUAACAAGUUGGGAAGGACUGACUACUUCAAUCACUUGAAGAAUGCUAAGUUUUGCUUAGCUCCACGUGGCGAGUCAUCAUGGACACUUCGCUUUUACGAGUCAUUCUUUGUGGUCUCUCUCUCUCUCUCUCUCUCUUCUCUCUGUGUGUUGUGUUUGUGUGUGUGUGUGUGCAAUCGUGCAGAGAUGCAAACAGAAAAACAUGCAGAUGAUUACACACUCACAUAGGCACAAUCAUGUAUGAACACAAGCACAUGCAUGAUACCAAUGUUUCUGUAAGUUCAGCCUAGUGGUUGCUGUUAAGACUCACAAAGCACAAGCUUGUACAUGAUAGACAUCAAAUUGUUAUUCCACAACAUACUUGUCACUGCACACUUUUUCUGGUAUUAAGAUCUUUUAACUAAAGAUUGGUACUCUUUUAUCUAAGUAUUACCAAAUUUGUGUUCAUACGUCAUACGGAUAAAUGAUUAUCAUUGUUUAGAGUGAUAAAUGUAACAUAAAGUCAUUCAUGAUAUCCAAAUAACUAGAGGAUAGUAACAAUCUUGCCACUUCUAUUGUUGGUUUGGAUCAUCUUAUUAAAUCUUAAGAGGCGUGCACUUUUAAACCUUGCAUUUAUAUUAUCGUAACAGAGGUUUGUGGAUACAUAUUUCUGCUGAGUCUCUAAUUCGAUGAGCUGUAAUACAGGAAUGUGUCCCUGUCAUCUUAUCAGAUCAAGUUGAGCUGCCUUUCCAAAAUGUGAUCGACUAUACUCAGAUAUCCAUCAAGUGGCCAUCUACUCGGAUUAGCACACAACUCUUGGAAUACCUAGAGACGAUACCAGGUUAACUUUUCUUGGGUGCUUUCUUUCUGCUGACUCCCCAACUGUGUCCGAUCAUCCUGAAUGUUUCACACUGCCAGAUGAAGUGAUUGAAGCCAUGAUAGCUCGUGGGAGACAGGUGAGAUGCCUAUGGGUAUAUGCCCCAGAAACCGAGCCAUGCUCCGCCAUGGUAGGUAUCAUGUGGGAGCUUCAAAGAAAGGUGAGGCGUUUUCACCAGUCCGGAGAAACAUUUUGGCUUCACAAUGGCUCCGUCGUUAACAGAGACCUUGUUGAGUUCCAUGAUUGGAGGCCACCUGUUCCCCUGCCUUGAUCAUCACAUAUUAGCUCUGGAGAUUUUGUUUGGAGUUGCUUCAUUUCUAUAUUUCCAUCAUUUUUGCUCGAAUAUAUGUAUAUGGACAUUUACACCAAACCUGGAACUUGUUUUAUAUGGUUCCACUCUACCAUUACUUUCACAAGAGAGUUUGUCAAACCCAUGUGGUAUUCUCUCUUUUUUGGAUGAUGUGAUCUUGAAGCUUAACUUUUGAGCAUAUUAUAUUUUUCUUGUCUCAAUAUUCAAGAUUAUAUAUCAUAAAUCAUGCCAUCUGUGUACCGAAUCAGCCAAAUACUUUUGACUAAACCCUACAAUUGGUCAUAACUGUUCUAGUAUUAAUACCUUGGCUAGCUAGUGGCUACACUGGACAUCCAACACUUGGCUGAAGUUAUCGCUGCAGGGUAGAAGUGCAAUCAAAUGAAGUAAACGGAUGCAGCCAUUACAUUAUGAACGUAGUGUAUGCCCUAAUAGUAAAGUAGGGCAUGCUUAUAACAAGGAAUUGGACCCAACAAUUGGCAACCUAAUAAAUAUAUAUAUAAUUUUACUAUUUAUUGUCUCUCAAUUAUCAAUAAUUUUUUUCUGAUUUUUUAUUUCAUCCAUCAAAAUCCUAUAUGCGUUUAAGUCACUCAUUGCCACUCAAUCAUCCAGCAUCGCUUGACGCCACGAUUCAUCUGCAACAUCAAACACCACUCGACACUCGACAAAGAAAAACUCUAUUUCGUCGAUUCAUCUGUUGAUGAUGCUAUUUCGUCGUCCAAUGUCGCUUGAUGCCCCCUCUAUAUCGAUGGAUGAUGAUGUAACUCCGUCGUUCGACGUCUCUCGAUAAUGAAAUAUAUAUAUACAUAUAUAUAUAUAUAUAUAUUUAAUUUUAUAAAAAUAUCAUAUAUAUAUAUAUAAUUUAUAAAAAGAUAUUGAAGAAUAUUAAAAAUUCUUUAAAAUAAAUGCAGAAAUAAUCAAUACCCCAAAAGACCGUAUGACCG
rnacentral:lncRNA from 1 species